rnacentral:rRNA from 1 species
UACGGAGGGUGCGAGCGUUGUCCGGAAUCACUGGGCGUAAAGGGCGCGUAGGCGGCUCAUGAAGGCUGUGGUGAAAGUCCGGGGCUCAACCUCGGAUCGGCCGUGGCGACUCGUGGGCUGGAGCACUGUAGAGGCGGGUGGGAUUCCGGGUGUAGCGGUGGAAUGCGUAGAGAUCCGGAAGAACACCAGUGGCGAAGGCGGCCCGCUGGGCAGUGGCUGACGCUGAAGCGCGACAGCGUGGGGAGCAAACAGG